AGUAUAAUGGGAUUCCUGCAGAAAGAUGGAUCUGAUUCAGGUAGUUUCACACAGUGUGCUGGAUCUGUGCUCAAAGCACAAGAAGACAGUGAUGGUGCCAGUUUCCUAAAGCCACAGUCCACUGAGAUGAAAGUACCUUCUGUGUCUGAGCAAAAAUCCAAAUCUAAAGGAACGCAGCAGCAAUCGUUUUUUCAAAGAGCACAGUUGAAAAGACUACAGCAGCAGCAGGAACAAAUGUCUGUCAUGGCUGGUACAGACACAACAAACAAUAGUGCUGACGCAGCUGCUGCUACACAGAUAGAUCUAUCAACAACAAACAAUCUGUCAGACACAACAUCAGCAAAAAGUUUGUCAAAUACAAACUCAGGGACAGACACAACAUGCUACGUAAACAAACCUGCAGUUUUAAAGCCAUCAUUUAAAAUCUCAACCCAGGUGCUGCAGUUUCUUACCUGUCCUGUGUGCAACACCGAGAUGAAGGAUGUAAACCUUACAGCCUUCAACAACCAUAUUGAUGAAUGUCUGAAGGGCAGUGCAGUGGAUAAUGAACCCACACAUUUGGAUGCGCCUAAGGAACAGGAGGAGCUCAACAGCAAACCACCUGCAUCAAGUUCAGAAAUCAGGGCUUUAAAAUCCUCAAGCCACGACCCAUCCUGUAAUGAAGAGAAGCCGUCCACAAGCAUCUCUGUCCCACUGGUGGAAACUGAUGAAGACGGUGAUUUCAAGACUCCAUUUUUUAGUCACAGGACAAAAAUAAAUGGAAAGCGUUCUGUUAUUUCUAAAAAGAAGAUGCCUGUUUGUGAAUCUAGUUGUAAAGCAUCACUCACCACAACACACAAUCUUGAGGCUGUCACAGAGAUGUCAUCUGACUCGAAAGGCUCGUCUUUGACGUGUCCCGUGUGCAGUCAGCCACAAAGCACUGAUGACCUCGCGCUCUUCAACCGGCAUGUGGAUAUGUGUCUCAACCAGGAAGUUCUGCUGGAGUUUAGAGAAUCUCAUCCUCCUGUGGGUCAUUCAGAUGAGCCAGCACUCAAGAGUGUACGAGGUCAGUGCAAAAAUAAGAAUAAUAAUCAACAACAACAACAAAAAAGAAUAAUCAACACUUUAGUGUAGGGACCAAUUCUCACUAUUAACUAGUUAUGCCUAUUAUUAACAUAUUGGCUUUUUAUUAAUACUUAUAAAGCACAUA
ensembl:lncRNA